CUUGAAUCUCAUUUUCAUUUUUCUGCAGAAUUUCUGCUCAACAAACAAUGCAAGGGGGAAAAAGAAAAAGAUGAAAUCAAUGAACUCCACCCUCCAAUGAUCUGUCCUUGCAAUCAUCGCUAGUUUUCUCCCCAGUAAAUCCUCCGAAACUCGCUCCCGCCACCAUAACCAUCAAAAACCCCAACACCAAAUGCGUCUUGAACAGCCACAGAACUAUACCCAUUUCUCAACUCUCCUCCAUAGCCAUUGUUGAGAGCACCACUUUUGAACCCGCUCUAAACCGAAUUUCUAUGGAUGAGCUAAAAAUUGCUGCUUUUUGUGAGGAGAGAUGAGAGGCAAAUAGAAUAUGAAGUAGGUAGAAAUAUGAAUGAGGAAGGAAGGAGAGAAUUUCUGGAGAUGUUCAGUCAUAUAAAG
rnacentral:misc_RNA from 1 species